rnacentral:lncRNA from 1 species
ACCACUGUCUUGUAUACUUGGCCCUUUAGACAUAUAGGAAUCAUUUUAUUUCAGAAGAAUGAUGUACUGAAUAAAUGUUGUAAUUAAUAAGUGAAUGAUAGUUUCAAAUGAUUUGAAUUGUUGGAUUAAUGUGGAAGAAUUAGCUGAAAUGUAUAAUGACAUUCGAGUGAAUGACACUGGAGAACAACUGCUGGAGGUCUGUGUUAAGAGAGCUGUUUGUUUCAUUAAUUUCAAGCACAAGACCAUCUGCAUAUAGAACUUUCAAUACAUUUAAUUGUAAGAGAAAUCAGAAGAAUAUGAUUGAUUUAGUUGUGUAUGAUGUGAAAUUACCAGAAAAUAUUGUGGAUGUAAGAGUGAUGAAAAGUAAUGAGAUGUAUGAUGGAAACAUGGAAUGGCAUUUGUUGUAUCAAAGAAGAGAACAUAUCUGGAAAUUUUAAGUAGAAGUUGUAAAUGUGGAUGACUAUAUAUAGAUGAUGAGAAACACAGUGAGAGAGAUGAGAAGAUCACGAUGAUUUUGAAGGAAACAAAGGAAUAUUUUGAAAAUAUAUGAGAAGUUUGAUGAAGGAAUAGGUUGGGAAUGAAUCUCAUAUGUAAGAUAUAUUCCUAACCUGAAUCUUCAGAUUAAUCUUUCAGUGGAUGAUGAAGAAUUAGUCUCUAGAUGAUGAGAUUUAUAUCAUCAUCUAGAGACUCAUCCUUUGUUUAAAUAAAAUGCUAAUAAUACUUGUGAUGGGCAAAAUUCAGUUAUUUCUGGUCAAUAUAAUGAUG